ACAGGGUGACAGGUGGUGCAUGGUUGUCGUCAGCUCGUGUCGUGAGAUGUUGGGUUAAGUCCCGCAACGAGCGCAACCCUCGGCCUUAGUUGCCAGCAUUCAGUUGGGCACUCUAAGGUGACUGCCGGCUAAAAGUCGGAGGAAGGUGGGGAUGACGUCAAAUCAUCAUGCCCCUUAUGACCUGGGCUACACACGUGCUACAAUGGGCGGUACAAAAGGGGUCGCGAACCCGCGAGGGGGAGCCAAUCCCAAAAAGCCGCUCUCAGUUCGGAUUGCAGGCUGCAACUCGCCUGCAUGAAGCCGGAAUCGCUAGUAAUCGCGGAUCAGCAUGCCGCGGUGAAUACGUUCCCGGGCCUU
rnacentral:rRNA from 1 species